AUGGCAGGAGUGCAAUUUGUGCUGGAGCGGAUCCAGGGAUUCAGCAGCGGCGCAGGACGAGAAACCACAGGAAGUAACUAAACUUAAAUCAAAGAACGGAAACGACUCGGUUCAAAUUUAGAAAGUGCACAUUGUUUUCUGCUAGAUGUGCCAUUUCCUCCCGGGGUGACCUUUAUUCAUAAAUAAUAUAACGCUGGAGAUCGGCCUGAAGAAGCGGUGAGUAACGCUCCGGAGCAAGUUGCAGGAGGGGAAAAGCUGCUGGUAUCGAAAGGAAAUCGCGAGCUGCUGAAGGCAUUUCGGGUUGUUUGUUUCCAGACAAACAAAUUAAUCUUUUCCAAAGCGUGAAAGAUUUUAAUAUUACAGCGGUCUGAAAAGCCCCGGGGUAGGGGGGGAAGUCAGGAAAAAGCUGCACGAGCCCACAACCGUCGCGGGAGGAGUGGGUGUGCGAGGGUGAACGUGUGCGCUGUACCUGCAAACGCGUGUCCUGCUGCCAAUUAAAGUUCACAGGUUUAACACAACCGUACGAAAACUGGGGCAUGAAUUAAGUACGACAUUUUUGGCAGGAGAGCAAGAAGUGCGUUUUACCCCCGUUUUAGCUGCUGCUUCGGUGGGUCUCUUGCCAUCUGGGUCUGACCCGCUGCCGGCCCCGCUGAGCCGGGGGGCUGGUGGUGGGACCUGCGCCCGGCUCGCCUGCGUCCGCUGCGUGAAACCAGCAGCGAAAAAUGUGUUAUUUCUCAGUAAUGGUGGUGAUACUUCUUGCACCGUAGUCUUUAUGCCGUUGCUCUUCUCCAGUUGGAAUUUGCUGCUGGGUCAUCUCAACCAUCCACCCAGAAUUUCUUAUUUCAUUUUUCAUAGCUCAUUGACAUCCUGACUCUAGAAACAAGGGCGGUUUUAAAGUGUAUUUUCUAAUUAUUUCAAAAAUAAAAAUAAGCAAGGAUUCUCACAGCUAUGGGGCAUGCAGAGGGGGGAAAAUGAUUCUUUUUUUGUGCGUAGAAUCCAGUGUCACGGUAUAAAAAAGCCUUACUGCAAAAUCAGAGUCUAGCAAAGCACUCGGUUGCGUAUCAGCUGGAUGUUGUGCUUGCAGGAAGAGUUAGAUUUCACAGGAUUUUUUUUUUUUUGAAGGCGAGCGAUGCAGCUGUUUGGGCCGGAGCCAGGGCGGCCGGCGGAGCUGGUGGGGGACGGGAGGCAGCCGGAGGAAAUGGUGGCACGCGUAGCAAUGUCACCGGCCCGGUGCCAGCGCCUCUGCCGCGCUGCCGGUGCCGCUUUGUCACCUCGUCCUGGUUUUGAAGCCACCUCCAGCACGUGGCUCGGUGUCUCGGCCUGAGUUUGGUCUCGCUCGUUACCGGUCUCUGCAGGUUCCCCCCGUCACGGUGGGUUUACCGGAGCCGCAGAGCAUCACUCAUUUGAAGGUGCCCCGCGCGCCGGCAUCCGUGAUGCAGGAAGCUGCCGGUCGCAGAGCCUGCGGUGGUCCAGGGCGCGCGGUGAUGUCGCGCGGCACUUGCGGCACCGGCUUAAUUUGUACAAGGGCUAUAGCCACAGGUAGCAAAUGCUUUACUCUUAAAAACACCUGACCACAAAAACUUAAGCCCACGGACACCACCAUAUGCAGGUAGACACUAAAAGAUGGCUUAACUGCGAUCACGCUGAUCAGGAUUUCAGUUAAUUAUCACAGAAAAGAUUAACCCUGGACUAAAUUCCAUGCUUUAGGAUAGUUAAGGUUGAAAAUUAUUCACUCUCUUUUUUUCUUAGCAGUAGUGUUUCAGAUCAGUUUAGUAACAGGUAAACCGGUCCCGCAAAGCAGGAGGGAUGGAAGCACGGACACGUGAAGCCUCUUCUCCCAAUUCCUGCCGAAAUGAGCUCGGCGAGGGGCUGAGGCAGGAGCAGACCCCACGGACAUCCGGGCACAGGACGGACUUGGGUGAAACGGCCGGUGUUGGUGCUGGGGUACAUUCGGACCCUCCACUUCUGCCCUUCCUCCUCACUCCUGAGCAGACGGUUUCCUUCGCUGCUCUUACCAAACACAUCGAAGCGUGCUUAAGCAAGGUAAAUUUAUGAUGCUUAUGGAAUCGUCCAAGGAAUACGACUGCUUUGCUGCCGCUGGCCUUGUCGCCAAGAGCUUCAGCGGUGCACGACGAUUGCUGCUGACAGAUCCGGGUCAGGUAUCCCCAGUGCUCCUCUGCUGAAACGCGGAGUGCUCCGGCUGGCCCUUGUCCUGCCGGGAGGCUCUUCCCCCCCUUGGGAUCUGCCUGGAUGAGAGCAAUGGUGGUGGUCUACGGUGUGCUUGCUCCUGUCUUUGUGUCUGUGUGCUUUCACCGGCACGUGCCUCGAGCAUGUCUUUCUCUGAGCUGUUUCUGCUUUAAGCUUUACGUCUGCAGCCCGUGAGAAGAAAGAUCUCGGAUUCGGUGGCAGGCGCCAGGCGCUGCUGCCGGCAGCCUUGGGCAGGCCAAGCUCUUGGAAAUACGUGAUGUAGCAAAGGGAACUAGGUGCCUGCUGUGUUUGCGCGGCAGAAGAGAAGAGACGGGUAUUCCCGCUCCUAUGGCAGAAAGUCAGGAGUCAGCUCAGGACUGGGGUUAAGGACUUCUUCUGGGUCAGAAGCAGGUCAAGAAGUCUGACUUCUCCCUUGAGUCCUUGCAGGCUGAAGUCUGCCUGUGCGAGUGUGUCCACGGACCCUGAUGACUUAGCUGGAAGACCCCCAACGGCGUCAGAAGUUGACCUUCUUUGGUCAGCGUGUUCCCCGGGCAGGGGAGGGAGAAAUGCAGCUGUGACCAGCCUGAAACUGUUCCAGGAUGACGGGAACAAUACAAGCAAGUCAUCUUCCGAAACCUUGGCAGCUCACAAGGAUAUAUAAGGAUACGCUCGCCUUUCCCCCUCCUUUUCUUUCCUGCCUUUACGCAGCAGGUCUGGGGCUGGCGGCUGGAGCCACCGGGGCUGACCGGGGACGGGGGAGUCACCAGGGCCGAGCUGCAAACGUCCAGCCCCCCGGGAGCGUUCCUGCUCUUCGGGCUGCUGCGACAAGGCAGGGCUGAACGUCGCGGUGCCGGUGCCGCGAUCUGCACGGAUCUGCACCGUCUAGCGAUGUCGGCCAGGUACCGCUCGCAGCCGCCGAGUUAAGUGCUCAAACCAAGCAGGUUUAAUGUAACAGGAUGCACCGUUUGGAGAAAAUUGUAGAUUAAAAAAAUAAAAAGAAAAAUAGGAAAAAAAAAACAUUUUACAAGAUGUUUGAGCACUGUGAUUUUGCAAAAGUCACAUAACUUUGCGUCGUGCCUUUGUAAUCCAUUGCCAAGGCACUAAUCCAGUCUGACUGUAACUCACGUUUUUAUUCUGAGUCCAAAAAAUGCCACAUAAUACUUGUAAAUUAAGUUAGUUAAUCUUUGAUCAUCAGUAAUUACAUACAUAUUAUUGCAUUAACCUAGGUGCAAACUCACUGGAUGCAACUCUACAGAAAACUUUCUGGAAGCAGGCAAUUGGAAGGAAAACUCAUGCGCAUGCUCUAAUAUUGGGCUUUAUUCACUCCUUAGAGGUGUGCACCGUAACAGCGGGAUGGUGAAAAUGAGAGCUGGGCCGUGCAGAACGAGGCGCUGCGUGGGAGCAAAGCCAAGCUGGGAGAGCACUAGCGCGGUUUGGGACACCUGCAACGCCCGUGGUCCCCGGAGGUGACAGAUACCGCACUCUCGUGGUCCAUCUCCCAUCGCCCAGGACCACGUGCGAAGUGGCACAGUUUGCCCAAGCCACUUCUGAGCGAUGCAGAAGGUUUCAGGACGCGGCGUAGAAAUGCAGACGGCUGAGUUCGCUCUCAGCUGCUGGGGAAAGGGCGAAUCCCCGGCUGCUGCUCGGGGCCCUGGCUAAUGCAGAGACCACCCGUGUGAUCGAGGAAGCAGCGUGGCCAACUACAACUCUUCUGAUACUGUGUGAGCAGCAAGUGCCAGAUCAGUGGCCACUUUACCUCUUUUAAUGAAUUUUAGUCCUAAUAACGCUGCCUGCGUCGGCAGGGCAGCCUGUCCCUACGCCGCUCCCGUGGAGCAGCUCCUCGCCUCACCCCACCAAGGCUUCUCCUGCGACUGCUCAGAUAAGUCACUGCUGCUUACUGCAGCAUGUUUCGUGGCGCAGCUCGUGCCCCUCGUUUUGAGCCUGGCAACACGUCCCGUAACUUCAGGGCGCUGCUGAGCACGCAGCAUCCGCAGGGCUCGCGCGCUGCUCCGGACCUCUGGCUGCGAGGCGUUGGCGCGGGAUGCAGAGCAACGGCAUUAGCAGAGCCUCCUUCCCUCGCAGGCUUCGUGAAGAGGGGAUGGAGAAAUUACCGCGGGGAAACGGAAGGCCAAAUCCCGCCUGGAGCCCGUGGGAGCUGCACGCUCCGUGCUGGGCGCGUGUUAACGCCUGGACGACUGACCUAGGGCUUCACCGUGGCUCAGCACCGGCGAGGAGCAGAGACCAGAGAUCCCUGAAUCCUGUCACCUAACAGCUCCAUCAUGCUUCCCCUGGGUCGCUAUGAUAAUGUCAGACCUUUUAUUAGCCACAAAAAAGCUGAAAUACUUCCUCUAGAAGAGAGCAAUCACCUAAUGAAGCUUGCAGUGUUUGUAGUAAUAGUUGCAGUAAAGGUACUGUAGAGGCUCUGGUUUUCUUUACUGCAUGGGACACGUGAAUUUCUGAGACAGCAGGACAAAAAUCAAAGGAGAAAUGUUUUCUUUCUAGAAAAGUCUGAAAGUAAAAAGAAAAAACCUAUCAUAAGGGAAAACAAUGUACUUUACAUCUGAAGUCAAGGGAGGCCAUAUACUCCAAGACCUGUGUGUGUCAACACCUCUCAGAAUUGAUGGUAAUCCAUAUUGAAUAGUCGCCCCUCUAAUUUAGCAUUAUUUUUAGAAGGAUCAUGACUGUAUUCUCUUUUCUACGGUGGUUUGGUUAUACGAUCUAGAAAAGCUUAUCCAGAAGGAGCUCCUCGGAGCUGCCUCCGGCGCUUUUGGACAAGUGUGGGAAUGCUGCCGUUCUGGCCUUGGCACAGCGCUGAAGGCCAAGAGCCAUCAGCAACGGAGAGCUCAUCUCCGCAGCUACUUGGAGAGGAGUGAAAUGCUUGGGAUGUGAAUGGAAAAUGAAGCCAGGGUGUCCGGUGUAAGAGCUAUCCUUGCUAUCAAAAAGCACUUGCAAAGGGAAGAUUUAUAGGGCUUAAUAGAACAUCUGCACAAAAUGGUGCAGGAGAGUGAGCAGGCACCUGGCGAGUAGCCUGGGAAAUGGUCCGGAUGGUGAGUGCUGCUCCCUUCCUCCGGGAGAGACCAUUUCGGAGCAAACGAGAGGGUCAAUACAGACCUCGCUUCCCCCAAAUCUCAGCAGAGGAGCAGCUGGCCGCUGCCCGAGCCGAUGCUGCCAUUGCCGUGUCACCCCGUGGCAUUAAGGAUGCUCCUCUCUGGGCAGCCCAAACACGACAAGUGACAGGCUGCUGCUGACGGAAGUGAGAAGCUUCAAUGAGGGAAGACUACACUAAAGUGAGAAGAAACCUUUAGGAAGCAUGUGUUUUAAAUGUGUGAUUAAGAAUAGCAUAUAAUGUUGGAGCUCGUCAAGACUAAGUUAAGCUUUCUGAAUUUUGAGUUAAGCUGUAAAUUCUUUAAAAGAGGGAAAACAAAGCUCUUUCUUUUUCAUAAAGUAUUUAUUAAUAUCGACAGACUAUUGAUAUUAAUUCUUUUUGUUCCUCCCCUUAACAGCUUUAUACCUCUAAAGACAGCUAGAAUUUUCACUAACAGUAAUAAGGGGAAAAAAUUAGAAAGCUUAUUAGGAGAAACCUGCCCUUUUUCAAAUGAGACAUUAAGUUCUUGCCAGAGCUUGGAAAUUCGGAAGCGGGGAAGUGAGACCUGGAGACUUCCAAGAAGCUGUCUCUGUCCAGCUAAAGUCUGUUCCUGUGGUGUAAGUGAAUAAAGCACAUUUUGGCCCAUGAA